rnacentral:lncRNA from 1 species
UCAUAUUUGGCUUUAUUCCCUAUUUUAUUUUUAUAUUAAAAACACAAAACAUUAUUUCUCCUUCCAAAAUUCCAUUUAUGAUUCUCGUCUCCACAUUUUCUGACUCCCGCACCAGACCAGACUCCUCCCUUCCAUGUCGCUAUUCGUCGCAGUCCGGCCUAAGUUGGCGUCGUCGCUACAUCUCCACACCAAACUCCCCCUUCCCUACCCCUAUUCGCCGGCGGCGUGGCCGAAGUUCAGCCCCAAGUUGCGCCGCC